rnacentral:rRNA from 1 species
GAUGAACGCUGGCGGCGUGCCUAAUACAUGCCAGUCGAGCGAACGGACGAGAAGCUUGCUUCUCUGAUGUUAGCGGCGGACGGGUGAGUAACACGUGGAUAACCUACCUAUAAGACUGGGAUAACUUCGGGAAACCGGCGCUAAUACCGGAUAAUAUUUUGAACCGCAUGGUUCAAAAGUGAAAGACGGUCUUGCUGUCACUUAUAGAUGGAUCCGCGCUGCAUUAGCUAGUUGGUAAGGUAACGGCUUACCAAGGCAACGAUGCAUAGCCGACCUGAGAGGGGGAUCGGCCACACUGGAACGGAGACACGGUCCAGACGCCUACGGGAGGCAGCAGUAGGGAAGCGUCCGCAAUGGGCGAAAGCAUGACGGAGCAACGCGGCGUGAGUGAUGAAGGUCUUCGGAUCGUAAAACUCUGUUAUGAGGGAAGAACAUAUGUGUAAGUAACUGUGCACAGCUUGACGGUACCUAAUCAGAAAGCCACGGCUAACUACGUG